CAUGUUUUGCGGCCAAUUUCACGUGGGACAAACUUGUUGAUUCAGGAUCAUCUCAUUUUGUCCGUUAAGUUAUCGGAUCUCAAUUUACGUUUUUUAGACUAAUAUUAGUUAAGUUUUCGGUAUAAAAUGUGUCUUCAUUUGUGUUACGUUGUUCUCGAAAAGCAGGGAGAUGUCAAAUAUAUUCAAGAUUGACGUUUCGCAAAAUCAACGAUGAAGUACAUCCACAUUAAUAAGUGCGAGAUAAUAUGGAAGAAAACAAAGAUAUAUGCAUAUUUGUUGUCAAAAAUAUGUGCAAUAAAUGCAUCUAAAAUUAUUUUUGGAAAAAAGCGGCGGUGGAUUCACGAGCAUGGAGGAUGCAUCCUUUUCGUUUAGCCAUAGCCGCGUUUAUUAACGUGUUACGUAAACCUGGGGAGACAUAUAGAGACAGACGGAGGGAAAAUCUUCUCGGUAUUUAAUUAUUUUUUUCUCUGAAAUCUCGCGUGAACGGAAACUAGAGAAGUAGCACAAUCACUGAACCGGUUCCCAGGUGUCCAAAAAGACAAAAAUUAAGAGGAGGCAAAUCCGAUUAAAUGGCAAAAGGAAGAGGAAGAAGAAGAGGUGGUAAGAGGAAGAAGGAAGAAAAUGUGCGGGGAACGUGAAAUCGGAGAAAUGAGAAAUUCGUUCCCGCUACUCACCAGGAAUGCCCUCAUGGUUGCUGCCGUUCCUUGAUUUGAGGACUGAUGCUCCGCGGAUGUCUUGAAGCCCCCUUUUAUACGGGCCAGCCUGGGCCCCACUCGAUGCCUCGACCCAUCACCUAUGAGAUGCGACGGAGCUAUUGCAAAUCGCUCUCUCUCUCUUUCUCCCUCUUUCUUUUCUCCGGCUCUUGCUUGCUCGUGAGAAGACGGACCCGUGUGCGCAUCUCUCACACAAAUUUGUCUCUGUACUUUCGUUCAAAUUCAGCCAUUCGAUCCGGAUAGGAUCGAUUAUGAUGCGCGCGCGGCUCCGUCAGGUAUAACGUUCAUUUCAAUGACAAAUGAGCGUGAAAAAUGCGCUCCCUCUCUCAUAAGACACUUUAUUAUACAAGUAAUCGUAAGAUCUUUGUAUCUAGUUGCGCCUCUUUUUUUAAGCGCGAUAUAUCUUAAUGACUGGCAAAAAGACCGAGUCUUUUCGACGAAGCAUUCACGCUAUUGAUUGAGAUGUUUCUAUUAAUUUUAAUGAUUGCACGAUGUUCUUGUAUGCAAAUUUUUAUACGUGAAAUAUGGUCUUGUAUAUAAACGCGUCAUUGUCAACAGAGAAUGAUAUAUACACGCCUUUAAGAUUAAAUAUUGCAUACAUAAAUGUAGAUUUUAUCGAGUGUCAGAGAUUUUUUAAACUCGCGAUCGACGAAUUCUUGAUGAAAUUUCGCGCGGUCACUAUAAAACUUUUGCGCAAGAUAUUUCAUAAUACUUUGUAGAUACUUAAAGAAGAAUUAUAUAUACACGAUAUGUUAAAUAUAUACUGCGGUUUACCAUUUUGGUCCAUAAAAGAAUUUCAAUCCGUUUUCUACAGCUUCGUAAAUAUAUACAGUCAAUAUUCGCCACCUACGAAAGCAUCGAUUUCAAAUUCUCGCAGUUAGGUAAAUAUCGAAUUAUUAUCAAUCGGGAAUAUUAUUAAAUAAAAAUAUGUUAGUUUUUCACCAUACGAAUGUGAUUUCAUAUAAUUUUCACGUGACAUAUAGAAUAUGUCGAUAUGUGAACGAUGACGAUAGUGCGAUAUUAUUGUAAAUGUCAGUUUACGCAACUCCAAUCGUGGGAAAAAAUUGAAAUUGUUAUGAAACAAUUAAAAAUUUAUUAUAGCUGCACGUGUUAUUACCUUAAAAGCGUCGGCGUUUCGAUACAUCUUGUAGAAAGUGCACUCGGUACGUUUAACAGCUGCUCCACGAAUGCUCGGCUGGAUCAAUUUCGUUCGAUUAUGUUAUAUUAUACGUAUAAAGAAAAAUUUGUAUAUAAUUUUAUUUUAUUUCCCGCGACGUGGAAAAAUGUCCUCUUGCAACCCCCCAAUUCGCGAAAAAUUUAAAAACAAAAAAAAAGUUGUUGAAAAAUU